UUACAUGAAGCAAGCCUUAAUCAACCAGAUAUACACUGCUAUCAAAGGUAAAUAUAUUGUCAUUGCUUUUCUCAAAACAUAUUUCUAAAAUAACUUAUAUAAUGUAAAAAAGGCAGCUUUAAAAUAAUUACAAUUAUGAAUGUAGAAAUGCAGGCAGAAAAGGAGAUCUAAUAUGGAAAUUUACGUCUCUCUUUCUCUUUCUUUCGUUCUUUACACAUUCACACACACACGCACAUCUAUCAAAGUUACAGUAUUCCAACAUGGCUCUAUAAAGGUGUUGUGUUCUAGGAGUCCAUAAAUUCCAGCUGUGUUUGAAAAGUGCAAAGACACUGAAACACUACCGAAGGAGAGCAGCAUCAGAUAUAAUUCCUCAAAGGGUCGAAAAUGGGUGGUACUAACACAAGAGCUGAAAAAGCAGAGCGAGAACGUAAUGAAGCUCAAGCAA
ensembl:processed_transcript si:ch211-77g15.32 si:ch211-77g15.32